GGGGGGUACUGACAGACUAUACAUAUAUCCUCCGUAUAAUAUUAGAUAUUAGUAUAAUUACAUAGAUGAUUAUUGAAAAUUCUCCACGCUGAUUGGUUGCCGAUGAGGUGAUUAUAAAGCGAUAAUCACCUAAGCGAUUUUCAAAAUGGCGGCCGAAGCUAUUUUUUUUUCAAGUAAAUGACGAAGAAAUGUGUAUUCCUACCCCCCCCAAUAAUCACCUAUGAAAUUAUACUAAAGCAAUUAUUCACCUCAGGCUGGGUGAUUAUCGUGAAUAAAAACCUCGACUUCGUCUUGGUUUUUAUUCACCGAUAAUCACUACGCCUUCGGCGAAUAAUUGUUAAAUAAUACCUCCAAGUACGCCACAUUACUCGGUGCCUUUUAUUAAAAGUCGUCUUUCUGGAUGAACCUCGUAAAGACAUUAGACAAUACAAUUGUGACGACAUUUUCAGAUAUCUAUCGGUGCAAGUUCGAAUUUCUUUACUGGGCAUAUUUGCCAACAUCGACAAAGGUUCGUUCACUUCAUUUCUAAUUCGCUUUCUCUCACGAAUUGUUUGGGAAAAAGGAUUUGUUUGACCACGGUUUGACAUUGUAAUAAGUGUAUAUGAAAUGAAAAUUUCUAUAUCGGGUUUUUUGCAUUUUCUGAAAAUUUGGUCUUUUCCGAUCACAAAAAUACCAACCUUGUUGACAAAUUCGAACCAGAAGUUUGUUAAUUUUACGAUUAAAGUUCGAUUUUGAGACUAUCUACUGGCGAAAUUCCUGACAUUCCAUCGCGCGGCCAGUGACGUGUGCAGUGUGACACAUUGCGAUCUUUCGAUAUGUAAACACUAUGAAAAUUAUAGCUUCGUCAGUGUAGAAUUGGGUUUUGAGAGAUUUUGAAGAAAAUUCAAACGAAUCCACUUUCUGUAGACAUCGCUUUCAAUGUAUAGAUACAAUAUAAUUACAACAUGACGAGUUGUAGCGUAUAUUAAGCGGCCGAAAAUACAAAUUCUAUGAGACAAGAGACUAUGUCUACGUUGUAGGUUUCAGACCGCAUAUUAUGUAGAAGCUAUAGCUGAUAUUAAUUAUGGCAAACAUUGUAGUAUAAAC